AAGUAGCCCUUGCUACCAGGAACCUUGCG
rnacentral:tRNA from 1 species